ACACUUUGCUGCCAGGAUUGCGAUAUGGUGUGAACUUGACUUAUUGGCUGUCACACCUGAGUUAGGUGUUCACAUUCUGCUGCACCCCACCCAUGCUCCUCCCCUUAACUGGAUCAUUAGCUUUCGGCUCUUAAGGCUACAGUUUUGUCUCAUGGUCACUCAGGCUUCCACCCAAAAUAGGUGCUACUCAGAAAUUUGAUGCAGAAUGUAUUUAUAGUAAAUUAAAAUGUUAUAGUUUCAGAUCCUAGUGUUUAAUGUUGUAUUACUCAUGUCUUUACUUUAAAAAUCUUAGAUACUUUAUCUAAAAUGUGGUUUUUAGAAGGUAUCAGAAAGCUCUUAAGUGCGUGAGCCUUUCCUUCGAUGCAUUGUUGAAAGGAUUACUGCACUCUCACUGUAUGACAUGUACCGAUACAUGUAUUCACCAUACAAAUUGUCCUUUCAAGGGAGGAGGUCUUUUUUUUGUCGAUGUCAGUGAACCACUUUCUCUCUGUUGAGAUUGUUUCUAGUUGGCUCUGCAAUAUUUCUUAAAGACCAGGUCCCCAGGACCUUCCCCUAAGAGAGUGUGUGAGGCUGUGCUCCUGUCCAAGUGGCUACCACCUACUAGAUGUUUCUCAGGUUUCAAGGCUAUGCGUGUAGACCUCACAGUCCCACACACACUAAACCUCUAGGGAAGGUAUUAUUAGCCCAUUUUUUUUUUUGGCAUAGGAAGCUGAGACUUAGUGUCUUCAAAAAUAAGUAGCCAUCCAUCACUUAGCAAAAGAUGUUGAUGUCGGGUUCGUUGACUCCAAAACUAGCAUUCAUCCUUUGCUGCUUAUAUUUUUUUUAACUGGGGGGAAAAGUUUUAAAUGCAGAAAAUUACAGAGAAUUAUUAAAACAAAAACCCUGGUACUCUCCUCUAGAAUUGACAAAUGUUAACAUUUUGGCAUAUAUUUCAGAUUUUUCUAAAUAAAAGAAAACGGUACAAAGGGGAGUUUUUCUUUUUAUCCCUCUCCAAUUCUGAUCUUUUUCCUUAUCCCCCCUCCCUCCCUCCUCAAAGGCAAUUUGAUCUCUAUGCAGACCAUGUGUCAAUGCUUUUACUAACUAUAUAUGUGUCUAUUAUCAGCGUAUGGCUUAAUUUAUUGAUAAAAGAUGUAUGUACAUUUUUAUUUAUAAUAUAUAAAUAAGUAAAAUUUAUUGUAUAUUUUUGCAAGUUCUUUUCCUAAUUUUGUUUCUGAUGUUACAUAUAGAUCUAAAUUAUUCAUUUUAAUGGCUCUCUAAUAUUCCACUAUGUAAAUAUAGGAUACUGUAUCCUAAUGAUAGACUUGAAGCAUUUUUCCAAAUUUUCAUUUUUUUACAAACAAUACCAAACAUGUCUCUGUGCUUCUCCAAUUGGGGAAUGUACUUAGAGGAGGAAUUGCCAGAGCCUGGGGUUGGCACAAUUUCACCUUUACCAGGUACUGCCCGUGGAUCUCCAAAGCAAACAUACACUUCCGCCCAUCACGUAUGAGAAGGUGGAUUUCUCCACACCCUCACACCUCCUGGCUCUGUUGGACUAUAAUUUUUGCCAUUUGUGAAAUAGUUUCUCUUUGUUUGGGUUUUAAUUUGCAUCAGCCUGAUUACUACUCAUUGCGACUGGCAAGGUUGAGUGUCUUCACAAGCUUAUUGACCAUUCAGGCUUCGUGUCUAUGAGUUGGCUGUUCAUGUCUUUGUUUAUUUUUCUCUUUGGUUGUUUAUCUUUUUUCCCUCUUGAUUUGUAGGAACUCUGAAUACUAUCAAUAUUCAUCAUUUAUCAAAAAAUAUUUUUAUGCCAUUAUCUUCUCCCAGUCAGUGUGUUUUGUUUGUUUAUGGUGUCUGGUGUAAUAUACAUGUCUUUAAUUUUGUUAUUGUAAAAAGUUACCAGUUUUUUGUGCUGUGCUGUGUGUCUUGUUUGUUUGUCAUAAGGAUAUGUUUAUAAUAGUUUCAGAGGUCUGUUUUUAUCUCUAGGUCCUUAAUUACAGCCCCCACCCACCCACUCAUACCUUCUCUUCCUUUUUCUCCAUACCUAUCUAGCCUAAUAUCUUGUAAUACAUCCUACACUUACCUGUUUUGUUUAUUUAUUUGUUGUCUGUUUCCCUCCACUAGAAUGUAAGCUCCCCAAGGGCAGUGGCUUUGACUGUUUUGUUCAUAGCUGUAUCUCUAAACCUGAAAAAGUCACUGACCCAGAGGAGAAGCUCAAUAAAUAUUUAUUGAACAAAUAAA